UUCUUUUUUCUUCUUUGUU
rnacentral:sRNA from 1 species